UUCAGUAGAAAAUGGGAGACCUCCAGAUCCUGCUGACUGGGCUGUUAUAGAUGUUGUGAAUUAUUUCAGGACAGCUGGAUUUGAAGAACAAGCCAGUGCUUUUCAAGAACAGGUGAUUGGGUAUAAAAACCUGUGGGAGUUGAAGAUUGUCAUGUUACAGGAUCCACAUAAUGGGAUGAAGUAUGUUUGAAAUGUCAUCUGAAAGGAUCUCACAGGCUCUCCAGGUAUGGCAGUCACAAGGUGUGCAGCUGAAACUGUGGCCAUCUCUGGUUUUAAAUGCCAUUUGUUCUGCAGCUUGUCUGGGUCUCAGAAUCUGAAAUUUGUUUGAUCUGCUACUGCCAUGGAUAUAUACUGGAAGGGGAACGAGGCUGUAAGUGGUGAAGGGAAGUAUCCCAAUUCACCUACAACACUGAGAAAUUGUUUUCCACUGAACUGUUUUAGAAGGGUUAGCACAACGAUUUUCUUGCAAGACAUCCAUAGUUCAAAAUGUAAUCUCAAGAAAUAUUAAUAUGUUCAGCUUCUACGUAACAGUAAGUCCACACUUCUAAUGAAUCUAAAUCUGGACUCACAUGACGCAAGUGACUCAAAGGAUUUUGUAAGAUGUGAUUUUUUUCUUAUACUUUUAAAGGAAAAUGAAAAGACAUUUUAAGGACUACAGAAUGUUUUUAGUAACUGUAUUGUAAGUGCUGGUAGGGCAUGAUGAGUAUAUGAUGGUUAUACAUUAUUCUUUCUUGGAGUUUCAUUGAUGUCAGCAAGCUGUAAGAGCUCUCUGAAAAGAUUCAACUGGAAGAUGUUGCCCAAUAUCCAAAACAAUAACAUCAAGCACAUUUUUCCAGGCAAGCCAAGAAGUUGGGCACAGAGGAUCACUGAAGAGAGUGGCAGACCAGAUGUGAGUGAGAGUGUGAACGUCUUCAAAGAACUGUUAUCUGCAAGUACAUGGCUGAUAUUUCUCUAGGAGCCUUGGGAGCACAGGGGGCUUUGGCUUGCUCGAAGAUGGAUUCCUUGUGAUGUGUCCUGAGAUGUGGUAGUGCAAUGCUUGACCCUUCACUACUGCCACGCAACUUCUUACCAUUAGUACUGUGUUAUGCAGCUCAGCCUAAGGAAUCCAAUGAUAGUUUGCUGGUCCUUGCUGCAGUGCCUUACCAGAAGGGAAACAGGUUUGAUAUUAGCUGGUAUCUGCUGCCAUCUUCUAGCAGAUCCACGGCAUGGAGGAGCAUGUGAGCAUUCUGGCUGGUAUACUUUCUUGUCAGCUGUGAUGUAGAACACUGCAGUUCUCAGUCACUUGGAGAAAGAGCAGACUUGAUUCUUGACUGGUCGUGUGGGGAUUUGCUGAAGACGAUAAAUUGACUAUUGCAGCUGAGGAACUACUGUUAGCUCUAGAUGUGCAGAGGGAUGCCUCUCUAGAUGGCACUAAAAGGGCAUGACAAAAGCUGGCAUUGAAGUUGAAUAAUAAGCUGAAGCUGAAAAAUAACCUGAAAAUAGUGGAGUAGCAGAGAAGAACUUCACAGAAGUCUCCAAAGUCUUACCUGAUGCCAAAAAGUGAAAUGACAAUGGCAAAUCUAUGGAAGCAGUUUUAAGGGGAAAGAAAACAAAAAGAGGUGGAAGUAAACCAUAAAAUAGACAUAGAGAUGUAACACACUGGAAUUUUAAUACAUAUUUACUCAUUCCUACCCAGGUAUGCUUAGAGGAUCAGUCUUCUAUUCAAUUAAAUCCUUAGAUGGUCUACUUCCCAGCAUUUCUUAAAUCCACGGGGAAUCCUGUGGAAGAAGAAGGAAAAGGAAAUAAACUAUCUCUACCUAUUCAUGGAGUUUCUCCUGUUCCAGGUACUGGAUUUGCUUCAUCUGGAUCCCUCCAAGCUGGAGGUUGUUCUUACUCCAUAACGUCAUUGAACGGCAGUGGAAAAGGCAGCUUCAGAUCAGUCGUAUCAAUGAGCAAAAUACUCAGUGGUGUCAGAAUUUCCACAAAAAGAAUUGUGACAAAUGGAAACAAGAAAAUAUCAACUGUUUUUUAACUAUUAACAUUCUCAACAGAAAUUGGAAGGAGGUACCUGUUAUACUUGGGUAAAAAGUUAUUGGAAAUGUGAUUCUUUUUCAGAAAUACUGUUACACUGUGCUCUUCUGGAGGGAUUAGCAGUUAUAUUUCUUGGUAAGGUUUUAAAGAAAUUCCACUUUCAGCGGAUAUUUGGUUAUAGUAUGCUUUUUCCAUCAAUCUUGUAUUUUUAAUCACAUAAUGGGAGAGAUCAGUUCGGACAAGUUACUAUAGAACUCUAAUGUUCCUUCUUUGUCAUUUUUGCAUGUUAAAUUGUAACAAAAAGUAUGAUCAGUAACAUCUCCAAAACAAUAUUUAAUAUUUGUAAGAAAGAUACUGCAGUGGAACUGUUUUGUGUGUGGUAUUUAUCUAUGGUAUUUAUAAAAACACAAAAUCGUGGUAAUACAGAGUAAUGGACGACAAUAAUAUAUGCAGGCAUUUGAACUUGUUGGCUAUUGAUGCCAAAUUAAAAUUUAUUUUUUAAUUAAAAGUAGAAAAGAAUGCAGCAAAGUGAAGCCAGUGCAAGAGAACAACCUAUGUUAAAGACUUUGGGCUGUGAUGACUUGUGAGACACCAGUCGAUGCACUGCUCUGUAGAUGUAGCUUGUUUCUUGGGUAGCGCAGUGAUAGAACUGUGAUGGUGCAAAUAAAAGAAUGGUCAUGUGUCUGAAACUGAGGUGGGAGUUGUGAGAUGGGGAUUCUUUCUGCUUUUUGAUGCAUGGAGAAUCAUUUACAGUUAAUUUUGCAAACAUGUGACAAGGUUAUCAGAUGGGGGAGGAAAAAAAAAGCCUGCAGGAUUUCUAAUCUAAAUAGGUCAGAAAGCAAAGAUUUGAGGAGACAAAAUAAAUAAAUAAAUAAAUAAAAAA